AAAUUUGAAAGUAUUAAUAAAAAUAGGCAAAUGUGAACCAAGAUUCAUCAAAUCAUUAAUAUUUAUUAUUGCCCCAUAAAUGUUUUCUUGAUUUUUUCCCCAUGUAUUCAUACAGUUCACACUAGUCCCCUUUUUGUCCUAGUUUAUUAUAAAGACCAAAAAAAAUUACUUGUCAAUUUGGUGGAUUUUAGUUUGAGAGUAGCAAAAAUGGAGUUAUACAAAUUUCAUGUAUUUUUGGCUAUGGUAGCUGUCUUGAUUCUUUCUCCAGUAGUUCAUGGAUGGGGACUUGAUGGUCAUUACACUGUUUGCAAGAUUGCUCAGUCAAGAUUGAGUAAAACUGCUGCAGAUGCAGUUGAAAAUUUGUUACCAAAAUCUGCAAAUGGUGAUUUGGCAAGUGUGUGUAUAUGGGCAGAUCGUGUUAAGUUCCAUUAUCAUUGGUCAUCACCUCUUCAUUACAUUGAUACCCCUGAUAAUCUUUGCAAUUAUCAAUAUAAAAGGGACUGUAAAGAUGAAGAUGGAGUUGAAGAUAGAUGUGUAGCUGGAGCAAUUUACAAUUACACUAAUCAGCUUCUAAGUUAUAACAAAGGCAAAGAUCAUGUUUCAACAUAUAAUUUGACAGAAGCACUUCUCUUCCUUUCUCACUUUUUUGGGGACAUUCAUCAGCCUUUGCAUGUUGGAUUUACUUCAGACAGAGGAGGCAAUACUAUAGAUGUUCAUUGGUACACUAGAAAAACAGUUCUCCAUCAUGUCUGGGAUUCCAACAUAAUCGAAACUAUAGAAGAACGAUACGAUGAUUCUAACGUAGAUGAACUAGUCGAUGCAAUUCAGAAGAACAUCACGACAGGAUGGGCUGAUCAAGUAAAUUCAUGGGAAAGCUGCAGUGGCAACAAAACAACCUGCCCUGAUAUGUAUGUUCAUUCAACAAAAGCGGAUCCAGUAUUUGAAGUUUAUAAAUACAUAUGCAAGUGAAGGUAUCAAAGCUGCUUGUGACUGGGCAUAUAAAGGAGUUAGUGAAGACUCAACAUUAGAAGAUGAUUAUUUCCUAUCGCGAUAUCAAAUAGUUCUAUGGCGUUUAGCUCAAGGUGGAGUCCGCUUAGCUGCUACACUAAACCGUAUAUUCAAAUGAACAACGUAUUGUAAACAAAACUUUAUGAUCCAUUUUCUAGCAUUCCUUGUACAACAUUGUUAUUUGAACUAAAGCAUUGUUGUAUUUUAGUAAAUCUUUCAUCGUAUCUAACAUUUUGAAGAUAUUUUUAUCGACUAUAUAAGUCAAAUUACGCGAUGAUUUUUAGUAUCAA